GGUCGGCGGUUACAUAACCGUAUCGAGUUUUGCUUUUAGGGUGGGAAGCU
rnacentral:ncRNA from 1 species